CACCCCGUAAACGUUGGGAACUAGUUGUGGGGUCCAUUCCACGGAUUCCGUGACGCAGCUAACGCAUUAAGUUCCCCGCCUGGGGAGUACGGCCGCAAGGCUAAAACUCAAAGGAAUUGACGGGGACCCGCACAAGCGGCGGAGCAUGCGGAUUAAUUCGAUGCAACGCGAAGAACCUUACCAAGGCUUGACAUACACGAGAACGCUGCAGAAAUGUAGAACUCUUUGGACACUCGUGAACAGGUGG
rnacentral:rRNA from 1 species